rnacentral:lncRNA from 1 species
UUUCCUCUCACUUCUAAGUUUCUUCAGCCUCUACAAUUCCUAGAACAAAACUGCAGUCAGCAACUGCCGCCACCCACUUUUCUAAAUCAGAUGCCUGUCCGCUAAGUGCCACCACCGGAAAAGCCCUCUUCUUCCUCGUGCUCUUUCCUUUCUGUCCUAUUUACCGGACACCUCAGCCAGUUCUCUCUAAGUUUCCAAACUUUGAACCAAAAAUUCUCAAUAG